rnacentral:rRNA from 1 species
GACGAACGCUGGCGGCGUGCUUAACACAUGCAAGUCGAACGGAAAGGCCCUGCUUUUGUGGGGUGCUCGAGUGGCGAACGGGUGAGUAACACGUGAGUAACCUGCCCUUGACUUUGGGAUAACUUCAGGAAACUGGGGCUAAUACCGGAUAGGAGCUCCUGCUGCAUGGUGGGGGUUGGAAAGUUUCGGCGGUUGGGGAUGGACUCGCGGCUUAUCAGCUUGUUGGUGGGGUAGUGGCUUACCAAGGCUUUGACGGGUAGCCGGCAUGAGAGGGUGACCGGCCACAUUGGGACUGAGAUACGGCCCAGACUCCUACGGGAGGCAGCAGUGGGGAAUAUUGCACAAUGGGCGGAAGCCUGAUGCAGCAACGCCGCGUGCGGGAUGACGGCCUUCGUGUUGUAAACCGCUUUCGCCUGUGACGAAGCGUGAGUGACGGUAAUGGGUAAAGAAGCACCGGCUAACUACGUG